AACGAACGCUGGCGGCAUGCCUAACACAUGCAAGUCGAACGAGACCUUCGGGUCUAGUGGCGCACGGGUGCGUAACGCGUGGGAACCUGCCCUUAGGUUCGGAAUAACUCCCCGAAAGGGGUGCUAAUACCGGAUAAUGUCUUCGGACCAAAGAUUUAUCGCCCUUGGAUGGGCCCGCGUUGGAUUAGCUAGUUGGUAGGGUAAAAGCCUACCAAGGCGACGAUCCAUAGCUGGUCUGAGAGGAUGAUCAGCCACACUGGGACUGAGACACGGCCCAGACUCCUACGGGAGGCAGCAGUGGGGAAUAUUGGACAUUGGGCGAAAGCCUGAUCCAGCAAUGCCGCGUGAGUGAUGAAGGCCUUAGGGUUGUAAAGCUCUUUUACCCGGGAUGAUAAUGACAGUACCGGGAGAAUAAGCUCCGGCUAACUCCGUG
rnacentral:rRNA from 1 species